rnacentral:rRNA from 1 species
UACAGAGGGUGCUAGCGUUGUUCGGAAUCAUUGGGCGUAAAGGGCGUGUAGGCGGUUUGUUAAGUCAUGUGUGAAAUCCCUCGGCUCAACUGGGGAGGGUCACUCGAUACUGAUCGACUCGAAGGCAGGAGAGGGAAGUGGAAUUCCCGGUGUAGUGGUGAAAUGCGUAGAUAUCGGGAGGAACACCAGUGGCGAAGGCGACUUCCUGGCCUGUUCUUGACGCUGAGGCGCGAAAGCUAGGGGAGCAAACGGG